GAUGAACGCUGGCGGCGUGCCUAAUACAUGCAAGUCGAGCGAACAGACGAGGAGCUUGCUCCUCUGACGUUAGCGGCGGACGGGUGAGUAACACGUGGAUAACCUAUCUAUAAGACUGGGAUAACUUCGGGAAACCGGAGCUAAUACCGGAUAAUAUAUUGAACCGCAUGGUUCAAUAGUGAAAGACGGUUUUGCUGGUACUUAUAGAUGGAUCCGCGCCGCAUUAGCUAGUUGGUAAGGUAACGGCUUACCAAGGCAACGAUGCGUAGCCGACCUGAGAGGGUGAUCGGCCACACUGGAACUGAGACAGGGUCCAGACUCCUACGGGGGGCAGCGGUAGGGAAUCUUCCGCAAUGGGCGAGAGCCUGACGGAGCAACGCCGCGUGAGUGAUGAAGGUCUUCGGAUCGUAAAACUCUGUUAUUAGGGAAGAACAAAUGUGUAAGUAACUAUGCACGUCUUGACGGUACCUAAUCAGAAAGCCACGGCUAACUACGUG
rnacentral:rRNA from 1 species